UACGUAGGGUGCGAGCGUUGUCCGGAAUUACUGGGCGUAAAGAGCUCGUAGGUGGUUUGUCGCGUUGUUCGUGAAAACCGGGGGCUUAACCCUCGGCGUGCGGGCGAUACGGGCAGACUUGAGUACUGCAGGGGAGACUGGAAUUCCUGGUGUAGCGGUGGAAUGCGCAGAUAUCAGGAGGAACACCGGUGGCGAAGGCGGGUCUCUGGGCAGCAACUGACGCUGAGACGCGAAAGCGUGGGGAGCAAACAGG
rnacentral:rRNA from 1 species